AUACGGGGGGGGCAAGCGUUGUUCGGAAUUACUGGGCGUAAAGGGCGCGCAGGCGGGCGGGAAAGUCUCUCGUGAAAGCCCACGGCUCAACCGUGGAAUUGCGGGAGAUACUACUCGUCUUGAGUCCGGGAGAGGAGUGUGGAAUUCCCAGUGUAGCGGUGAAAUGCGUAGAUAUUGGGAGGAACACCGGUGGCGAAGGCGGCACUCUGGACCGGUACUGACGCUGAGGCGCGAAAGCUAGGGGAGCAAACGGGAUUAGAAACCCCAGUAGUCC
rnacentral:rRNA from 1 species